rnacentral:lncRNA from 1 species
CGUACAACGGACGUUCACAGAAUGAUAAAUGCCAGGGCACUUUGAACCGCACAGACACGGGCCUCUAAUGCUUAUUAUCAAGAACUUGCCUUGUGACACAGACAGAAAACCACCCAGAUGGAGAAGGCUAGAUAAUUAUGGCCAAAUCAUACCAAGAACCAUGUUUGAAAAGGCAAGGUGCUGAAUAUUUAACUAGAAUCAGAGGGUCUCUCUCUUUGACUAACAGGGAAGAUAGUGACAUCUUUGCCGAUACUACAGGACACGCUGCGGCCGCGUGGUUGGGCAGACCAUAACUGAGCAGGCGCACGCAAUGAAGGGCUGGUGGGGAGUCUCCCAGCAGUGCCUGGCACGCGGUAGACAUGCAAUGGGAUGUUGCUGAAAGGAUGAAUCAGCAGAGGGGUGACAGUCGAGGUCAGGAAAAUGGACAGGCGUCGCUUGCCCAACAGAGUGAAUUUAAGCCUGUGCAAGUAACAGAAAUAGAAUUAUCAUUCAUUCUGGAGACGCUGAGGGUGAUGGAUUGA